rnacentral:rRNA from 1 species
UACAGAGGGGGCAAGCGUUAUUCGGAAUUAUUGGGCGUAAAGGGCGCGUAGGCGGUCGUGCAAGUGGAAGGUGAAAUCCCUCGGCUCAACCGAGGAACUGCCUUUCAAACUGCAUGACUUGAGUCCGGGAGAGGUGAGUGGAAUUCCCAGUGUAGCGGUGAAAUGCGUAGAUAUUGGGAGGAACACCAGUGGCGAAGGCGGCUCACUGGACCGGAACUGACGCUGAGACGCGAAAGCGUGGGGAGCGAACAGG